CCUACGGGUGGCUGCAGUAGGGAAUCUUCCGCAAUGGACGAAAGUCUGACGGAGCGACGCCGCGUGAGCGAAGAAGGCCUUCGGGUCGUAAAGCUCUGUUGUGAGGGACGAAGGAGCGCCGUUUGAACAAGGCGGCGCGGUGACGGUACCUCACGAGAAAGCCCCGGCUAACUACGUGCCAGCAGCCGCGGUAAUACGUAGGGGGCGAGCGUUGUCCGGAAUUAUUGGGCGUAAAGCGCGCGCAGGCGGUCCUUUAAGUCUGAUGUGAAAGCCCACGGCUCAACCGUGGAGGGUCAUUGGAAACUGGGGGACUUGAGUGCAGGAGAGGAGAGCGGAAUUCCACGUGUAGCGGUGAAAUGCGUAGAGAUGUGGAGGAACACCAGUGGCGAAGGCGGCUCUCUGGCCUGUAACUGACGCUGAGGCGCGAAAGCGUGGGGAGCAAACAGGAUUAGAUACCCCAGUAGUC
rnacentral:rRNA from 1 species